rnacentral:lncRNA from 1 species
GCAACAUGGUUAUGGGUACUACAGUGGAUGUGAGUGUGUAGACCUUGUACAAUAGAGCUUAUAGGCUAAUGAGAAGACAGGAAGAAACAACAGGAACACAUAUAGCUGGAAUGCAGAUGGGAUCUGUGCUACUUACGCUAGCCAUGGGAUGAUUAGAACAAGAUAAGAGACAUGAGGAAGACUUCUUCAAGGAGGUGCUCAAGCCAUGUUUUGGAAAAGAGAACUCAAGGUCUGGCAGGGAGAAAGGAGCAAGGUCCUCUUCUCCCUGAAGGCUGUCACAGUUCCUGUGCAGAGAGAGAGGGCACUGCAGCACCCAGGCGCUGACUGCCUUUUGUCAGUCUCAUUUGCAGGCCCCCAGCUGGAGAACCCAGGAGGAAGAGGAAAAAAGUUUUUUCCUCCUCUACACUCCCCAUGCAUGACUAAAGAGUAGGAGGAGUCAGCAAGGCAGACAUAUAUAGUACCCAGGAGGUGGACAAACAACUGCCUUGGUGGAAACUCUGUCCUUUCUGGACUUAUCCUGGUGCCACUGAGACUGUGCAGGUCCCACACUUACAGGGAAAGCAUCACCCGAAAGUGAGAAUGCCUAGAGGCAGGAAUCAUGGAGGCUUCCUUAACCGUCUGUCUGCAACAGCAGGUGCUAGAGAUGACACUGCAGAGUAGAGAACAAAGGAAUCUUAGUAAUUGUUCAAUCCAAUCUCCACACUUUAAAGAUGAAGAAACUGGUAUUGAGAAAAAUACACAGCUUAUCCAAGGUUGCACUGCUGGUUGGUAGCUGAGAUGAAUUUAGAACCCACAUCUGAUGACUACACCAUAUUGCUCCCAGUUUUCCUGUCUGUUCCACAUGUAAAAGUCUGACUCUUCACUUCUCCUUUGAGUAUAUAGACU